rnacentral:lncRNA from 1 species
UUGGACUUGCUACUUUCUUGAUGUCUCCCAUAAGCUUAAAACGUGGCUAUGGUAAUCCAUAGAACUAGCUACUUUACUAUCCUUUGUAUGGAUGGCUAUGGUAGUCCAUAGGACUAACUAUUUUUGUGGCCUUAUCCAUGGACUUGAAACGUAGCUGUAGUAGUUUAAAGCCAAGCAACUUGAUAUGAUCGAAUCCUAUGUAUGUUGGUUGAGAAAAUUGUAUGAUGUGAUCAAUUGAACAAAGAAUAUAUUU